rnacentral:rRNA from 1 species
AUUGAACGCUGGCGGCAUGCUUUACACAUGCAAGUCGAACGGCAGCAUGGGGGCAACCCUGAUGGCGAGUGGCGAACGGGUGAGUAAUAUAUCGGAACGUACCCAAGAGUGGGGGACAACCAGUCGAAAGAUUGGCUAAUACCGCAUACGAUCUAAGGAUGAAAGUGGGGGACCUUCGGGCCUCACGCUCCUGGAGCGGCCGAUAGCUGAUUAGCUAGUUGGUGGGGUAAAGGCCUACCAAGGCGAUGAUCAGUAGCUGGUCUGAGAGGACGAUCAGCCACACUGGGACUGAGACACGGCCCAGACUCCUACGGGAGGCAGCAGUGGGGAAUUUUGGACAAUGGGGGAAACCCUGAUCCAGCAAUGCCGCGUGAGUGAAGAAGGCCUUCGGGUUGUAAAGCUCUUUUGUCAGGGAAGAAAUUGAUUGGGCUAAUAUCCCGAUUAGAUGCCGGUACCUGAAGAAUAAGCACCGGCUAACUACGUGCCAGCAGCCGCGGUAAUACGUAGGGUGCGAGCGUUAAUCGGAAUUACUGGGCGUAAAGCGUGCGCAGGCGGUUGUGUAAGACAGAUGUGAAAUGCCCGGGCUCAACCUGGGAAUUGCAUUUGUGACUGCACGGCUAGAGUGUGUCAGAGGGGGGUAGAAUUCCACGUGUAGCAGUGAAAUGCGUAGAUAUGUGGAGGAAUACCGAUGGCGAAGGCAGCCCCCUGGGAUAACACUGACGCUCAUGCACGAAAGCGUGGGGAGCAAAA